CCAAAGGUUUUUUUUAAAACCACUAAUAAGUUGGAUAAUCAUUACAU
rfam:Patagioenas fasciata monilis isolate BTP2013 Sc31e1R_1, whole genome shotgun sequence.